rnacentral:rRNA from 1 species
CCUACGGGUGGCAGCAGUGAGGAAUAUUGGUCAUUGGCCGAGAGGCUGAACCAGCCAAGUCGCGUGAGGGAUGACGGCCCUACGGGUUGUAAACCUCUUUUGUCGGGGAGCAAAGAGAGUCACGUGUGGGUUAUUGAGAGUACCCGAAGAAAAAGCAUCGGCUAACCUCGUGGCAGCAGCCGCGGUAAUACGGGGGAUGCGAGCGUUAUCCGGAUUUUUUGGGGUUAAAGGGUGCGCAGGCGGAGUUGCAAGGCAGUGGUCAAAUUGCGGGGCUCAACCCCGUACUGCCGUUGAAACUGCAUCCCUUGAGUGCGCGAGAAGUAUGCGGAAUGCGUGGUGUAGCGGUGAAAUGCAUAGAUAUCACGCAGAACUCCGAUUGCGAAGGCAGCAUACCGGCGCGCAACUGACGCUCAUGCACGAAAGCGUGGGUAUCGAACAGGAUUAGAUACCCCAGUAGUC